AAUCCUGUGUCUCCCUCUCUUUCUGCCCCUCCCUUGCUCUCUCUUUCUCUCUCAAAAAUGAAUAAAUGUUAAAAAGAAAAAGAAACUGGAGGAAAAGUAGUUUUCCCUCUACCCUUUACAGCGAGUGCCUGGCCAAGACACCUUUAUCUCCAGGGCACCUCCUAAAUGGAUAAGCUUAUCUAAAAUAGUUAAAAGUUCUCCGUAGUGGUCUCCAUAAUUCAAGAUUAUCUUUGGUAAAGUUAGCCCUGUUCAGCCUUAAAGCAAAAUGUUAUUCACCUGGGCCUCACACUGGACCCAGCCCAGCUUAGGUCGGAUUCAGUCUGGUUCCUAAGGAGGAACCACUCCGACCGGGGCACAUUUCAGCCCCAACUGGGUCUGGUUUCCACAUCGGAACCACUCUGUUCCUGGACCCGGGGAGGUUUCUUAAGGGGACCUCGUCCAACUCCGGGCAGUUUCCGGACCCAGGGUAACUCUGGCCGGGUCAGGUUUCCCAGUCGGAACCGCUCUGUUCCCGGACCCGGCGGGUUUCCCGGUCGGACCCAGUCCAACUCGGGGCGGUUUCCGGACCGAGGGUAACUCUGGGCGGGUCAGGUUUCCCGGUCCGACCCAGUCUGACUCCUGCGGGUUUCUGGACCCCGGUGUGGACGAAGCAGUGCCGCGGUCAAGUCUGAAAGCUCCUCCCGGAAAGCUGGGGAGCUGCGACCCAGGCUGCCAGAGAGACUUCCCGCCUCCUCCAGACACAGCGGAGCAGCGGCACAAGGAGCUCAGCAGAUGCGGAAACUGAGGCAUCAGGCAACUAAGUAACCUGCCCAGGACCACACAGUUGCUUUCUUGUGGAGCUGGGGAGCCGACACUUUCAUGAAGAAACUUUGAACAACAUCAGUGCUACCUACUGGAGAGUAACACUGGUGGAGAUGUUCUUUCUCCCCUGCUAUGCCCAGAGCCUUUCUUCAGAGCUGGUUUGUGUGCAAAGAGCUGGCCAUCUGUUGUGUCUAGGGAUGCAGCGCGUAUGUCUGAGUGCAGGAGAAGAAAUGCAGACUCUCAGCUUUACAGAACUGAGUUCCAGAAUUUCUUGUGUCUCAGGAGCUUCCUGGAGCCAAGAAGUAAAGGAACAAUUGUUGUCAAUGGACUGUUCUUUCGGUUUACAUCUUAGCCUUGGAAUCCAUAAAAACCCUCUAUUCCCAGCACAUGAGUCAAUUCUGUUCAAAUCCACACAUUUUUAUUAAGCUUGGUAUUUUGCACCAGCCACCGUGAGAGUCACAUAAACACACAUGUGCACACACACAUCUACACACUAGCUACCAUUUUCUGCACAUGUUGUAUAUUCCACUCAUCGUGGUAAGAGAUUUAUGCCCCUGCCUCUUUCAAGUUUUGCACAAACUCCUGCAGGAAGAUCUUUCUAUUCCUGUUCUACAAAAAGGACAUUGAGGCUAAGCAGGGUUAGGAAACAUACCUAAGCUCACAGAGCUAACCUACUGUGAAGAACUAGAAUUUGAAAGCAGGUCACCUUGGUUUCAACACCUAUAAUCUAACACCUAUAAUCUAAUUUUAUCUCUUGUAUAUAUGUAUGUUUGUGUGUUUAGGUAUGUAAUACGAUAAAAUAUUUGAAAGGCAUACCAUGCUGAUUACUGUGAUGGAGGUGAAAACAACACCCCGUUGGGAACGGAGAGGUAUAAAGAUUCACUGAAGUCUGAACUUACAGAUUCUCAGGAUUAGAAGGAACAUCAGAUGGCCUUAAAUUAUCCUGUACUGAAAUAUUCUGUACUGAUUAGUAAUCAGGAAGGGUGACUCCAAAAUCUAUUUCAACUCUGAGAUAUUAUGAUCUUAAUUAUUACAUGAUAUCAGGUGGUGCUUCUCAGUUUAGAGUAUCUUGGCAUGGAUGUGCCAAGGAUCAAUUUUACAGGAUAAUGAGUAUUUCAGAGACUAUAUAAACAAGAAGGGAAAUAUUGUUGAAUUUAAUGCAAAGUGUGUAUGACAUUUUACCAUAAAUCAGGAGAUUUCAAAAGAAUUUUGCACUUUUAGAAUCCAUUUUGAACUAUACUUCCCCUAGAUUCUUAUGAGUACAUUUGUAUUCUCUUUAGUCAUAAGAUUUUCCUUGGGGGAAAGAUUUUCCUUGCUUCCUUGGGAGCAAGCUGUAGAGACCCUAUGCCUCAGAUCAUCCCACUGUCAUUUCUAAUUCACGGAAAGUAUGUCCACAGUUUGAAUUGAGAUGUCCCUUUCCUUGCAGCUCUAAGUUCUAAACUUCCCCUAUGGAAGUGGCCAAUCCUUUUACUAACCAUGGUUUUCAGAAGAAGCCACAUCUUCUCUUUUGUUGUGCCAAAGUCUUAGAGCAGUUUUUAUCUGUGCAGUCAAAUUGCUCAUCAACCAUAUUCACAUCAUUUGACCAGUCAGACACAUCCAGAACCCAGAUCACACAGCUUUCCUGGUACAAAACCAGUAUUCAAUCGAUUCUGUGAUGCAGAGAAGAUCAUUCCCUUCUGGGGCCCAGUCUCUUUUUCUGGGCAGUAUAGAAGAUACAGACUGUUCAUGUCUAACAUUUAUGGCUAUGGAUCGUGAACAGCAGCUCAAAGGUAAGCCAUUGCUAAGCGCUUGGCAUUUUCCUUAAACAGAGGGUCCUACUGCACUCCUAUGCUUGCUUUAAAAUAACUUAACAUCUCCUAGCACCUCUGAAAUGAACCGGGCCUUUGAUUCCAUAGUAAGCCCUACAGACUUAUAUUUUGGCUGUUUAAUUUCUGUGAAUAAAUAUCAGAGGUGAGCAACGUCGUAAAAACAGCAUCUCAAGUAGGAUGAGCAUUGUUUACUUCAAUAAAGAAUCUGAACAACAAGCUAGGACUGCCUAGUCACCACUGAUAUUUUGGAGGGUGUCAGAAUGCAAUGAAAAGUUAAUAAGUUAGAACACCCCACAUCCCAGGGUUUCAUACUCUCCACCAUGGCUAAGUAGCUUAUGCACACCGAUCAUCCCUGGCUAAAGAAAGCACAGGCACAAACUGCCCCCGGUCCCAUUGUCCUGCCCAGUCCAGCCUCCUCCUGCUUCUAGAGGCCUCCUCCCUGUUCCUUGAACAUGCUUUCAUGCCACUGUGCAUUUGCAAAGGCUGCUUUCUUUGCCUCAAAUGCUCUUCCCCCAACUUGGCAAAUUCCCUAUUCAUCCUUCAUGAUCUAGAUAAAUUGAGCCCGAGCUUUGGAGACACAGAGCUGGGUUUGAAUUCUUAUAUUCUAAUAGGUGUGUGGCUUAGGUAAACCACCUCUGAGUUUGUAAAUUGAGUGCAACAAUAAUUACUAUGCUAUGUAAUUGCUGUGAUUAGCACAUUAAAUAUAAUUUUUUCAAAUUGUUAGUAAAAUGCUUAUCACAUAGUUGA